rnacentral:rRNA from 1 species
GAUGAACGCUGGCGGCGUGCCUAAUACAUGCAAGUCGAGCGAACAGAUGAGGAGCUUGCUCCUCUGACGUUAGCGGCGGACGGGCGAGUAACACGUGGAUAACCUACCUAUAAGACUGGGAUAACUUCGGGAAACCGGAGCUAAUACCGGAUAAUAUAUUGAACCGCAUGGUUCAAUAGUGAAAGACGGUUUUGCUGUCACUUAUAGAUGGAUCCGCGCCGCAUUAGCUAGUUGGUAAGGUAACGGCUUACCAAGGCAACGAUGCGUAGCCGACCUGAGAGGGUGAUCGGCCACACUGGAACUGAGACACGGUCCAGACUCCUACGGGAGGCAGCAGUAGGGAAUCUUCCGCAAAGGGCGAAAGCCUGACGGAGCAACGCCGCGUGAGUGAUGAAGGUCUUCGGAUCGUAAAACUCUGUUAUUAGGGAAGAACAAAUGUGUAAGUAACUAUGCACGUCUUGACGGUACCUAAUCAGAAAGCCACGGCUAACUACGUG